AAAAGCAGUUAGCAGGCUUAUUGCAGCAAAGCAAAUCCAUUUGGUGCUUUACUGGGAUGGGAAGGGUUGAGGGAAUAUAGGUAUUUACAGGGCAAAAAGCUCCUUUACAAAGCUGGUUUGGGCUGGGGAAGAUGAUGAGCUUUUUGCCGUGUUUGUGGUUCUUCAAGAAAGUCAGCCUAGAUGCAGCCAGCCUAAAUUCCCAGCCUAAAUUCCCUGUUUGCUAGAGAAAAAGUGAUGGUGAGCUCAGCUGCUCAGGCAGCCUAAGGAAAGUACUGUGGAGGGAGCUGUCGGAGCCAGCCCACAAGGAGCACUAGGACUUGUAGGGAAAUGAGUCAGGCUGAACCAGGGCUUCAGAUGUUUACAGGAAACUGGUGUUAUUCUGUGGAAUUGUCCCUGAAGGGCUGGAAGCUUGCAAGCACUGCUUCCACCACAAAUGGCAUUGGCAGGGGCUCAUCUUUGGCUCCAGAGGAAGGCUGUGGACAGCUUGCACUGUGCAGGAGGAUGGAUCUGCAUGGGACUUUUCACAGGAACCAGCCCUGCUUGUGUUGCCAAACUUGGAUGGACUUUGACAAGUGUCGAUCCAGAGAAGCGUUUCUCAUUUCAGGCACUGCUUUGGGUUCGGGGAAUUGGGAUCCAUGUGAGGGAGAAUGUUAUUUGCACAGAACAACCUCAGAAAAAUGUCUAAAAAUUGACGAAAUAUGGAAAUGUUGUCAAAACAAACAAGCUGUCUGCUUGUAACCACAGCUGUACUUACCAGGCUCUUUUUCCAGCCCACUUAAACCUCUCCUUGCAGCUACAAUUAACAGAGUCCACAGAGCCAGAGCAGAAACCACAGCUCAGGAUGCUCUGCCAGUGCUGUCUCUACUGACACCUGUGUCUUCUGAGGUGGUUACGGAUUCCCUGCCAGCCUGGGUUUCAUCUCACCCAGCACAGUUUAUCUGAUCCAUUUUAGAUGCAGGCUUGAAGCGAAUUUUGGUGUUGGUGUGCUGUUUCCCUUCAGUGACUGUAGAAGGAUUGAGGCUUUGAUACAUGUAGAUAAACAUCUCUUUUGAGCCAGAUGAAUCCAAGCAGAAAUGCUGAUCCAUCCACCAGGCAUGAUGCUGGCCUGCAUCCCACAUCAGGCUCUCCUUGUCAUCGCUGGGUGAACUUCAGGAGCUCACAGCAUUUCUUCUCCAGGUCUUGGAGGGUCUCACCUUCAGCAGAAGUUCCUUAGGGUUGACUAAUAAAA